rnacentral:rRNA from 1 species
GAGUUUGAUUCUGGCUCAGGAUGAACGCUGGCGGCGUGCCUAACACAUGCAAGUCGAACGGAGAGUGUGAACGGAAGUUUUCGGAUGGAAGUUCAUGCUUCUUAGUGGCGGACGGGUGAGUAACGCGUGGGCAACCUGCCUCAUACAGUGGGAUAGCAGAUAGAAAUGUCUGAUAAGACCGCAUAAGUCCUUUGCUUCGCAUGAAGCGGAGGGGAAAAGAGCAAUCGGUAUGAGAUGGGCCCGCGUCCGAUUAGCCGGUUGGUGAGGUAACGGCUCACCAAGGCGACGAUCGGUAGCCGGACUGAGAGGUCGGACGGCCACAUUGGGACUGAGACACGGCCCAAACUCCUACGGGAGGCAGCAGUGGGGGUAUAUUGCACAAUGGAGGAAACUCUGAUGCAGCGACGCCGCGUGAGUGAAGAAGUAUUUCGGUAUGUAAAGCUCUAUCAGCAGGGAAGAUGAUGACGGACCUGACUAAGAGCCCG